rnacentral:rRNA from 1 species
UACAGAGGUCCCAAGCGUUGUUCGGAUUCACUGGGCGUAAAGGGUGCGUAGGCGGUCGGGUAAGUCUGACGUGAAAUCUUCAAGCUCAACUUGGAAACUGCGUCGGAUACUAUUCGGCUAGAGGAAUGGAGGGGAGACUGGAAUACUUGGUGUAGCAGUGAAAUGCGUAGAUAUCAAGUGGAACACCAGUGGCGAAGGCGGCAUCCUGGACCGGCAUUGACGCUGAGGCGCGAAAGCUAGGGGAGCAAACGGG